UACGGGGGGGGCAAGCGUUGUUCGGAAUUAUUGGGCGUAAAGCGCACGUAGGCGGUUUGUUAUGUCGGAUGUGAAAGCCCUUGGCUUAACUGAGGAAGUGCAUUCGAAACUGGCAGGCUAGAGUACUAAAGAGGGUCGCGGAAUUCCCGGUGUAGAGGUGAAAUUCGUAGAUAUCGGGAGGAACACCGGUGGCGAAGGCGGCGACCUGGGUAGAUACUGACGCUGAGGUGCGAAAGCGUGGGGAGCAAACAGG
rnacentral:rRNA from 1 species